rnacentral:snRNA from 1 species
AUGCUCCCUUUAUCAGUACGUAUACUAACAUCGGAACAAUGCAAAGACUAUUAGCAUGGCCCCUGCACAAGUUCAUGAAGCAUUUCAUAUUCUU